rfam:Triticum aestivum genome assembly, contig: Triticum_aestivum_CS42_TGACv1_scaffold_543036_6DS
AAAAUACUCCCUCCGUCCAGAAAUACUUGUCAUCAAAAUGGAUAAAAAGAGGUGCACCUAGAACUAAAGUACGUCUAGAUACACUCCUUUUAUCCAUUUUGAUGACAAGUAUUUCCGGACGGAGGGACUAUAAU